GACGAACGCUGGCGGCGUGCCUAAUACAUGCAAGUCGAACGCUUCUUUCCUCCCGAGUGCUUGCACUCAAUUGGAAAGAGGAGUGGCGGACGGGUGAGUAACACGUGGGUAACCUACCCAUCAGAGGGGGAUAACACUUGGAAACAGGUGCUAAUACCGCAUAACAGUUUAUGCCGCAUGGCAUAAGAGUGAAAGGCGCUUUCGGGUGUCGCGGAUGGAUGGACCCGCGGUGCAUUAGCUAGUUGGUGAGGUAACGGCUCACCAAGGCCACGAUGCAUAGCCGACCUGAGAGGGUGAUCGGCCACACUGGGACUGAGACACGGCCCAGACUCCUACGGGAGGCAGCAGUAGGGAAUCUUCGGCAAUGGACGAAAGUCUGACCGAGCAACGCCGCGUGAGUGAAGAAGGUUUUCGGAUCGUAAAACUCUGUUGUUAGAGAAGAACAAGGACGUUAGUAACUGAACGUCCCCUGACGGUAUCUAACCAGAAAGCCACGGCUAACUACGUG
rnacentral:rRNA from 1 species